GACGAACGCUGGCGGCGUGCUUAACACAUGCAAGUCGAACGGAAAGGCCCUGCUUUUGUGGGGUGCUUGAGUGGCGAACGGGUGAGUAACACGUGAGUAACCUGCCCUUGACUUUGGGAUAACUUCAGGAAACUGGGGCUAAUACCGGAUAGGAGCUCCUGCUGCAUGGUGGGGGUUGGAAAGUUUCGGCGGUUGGGGAUGGACUCGCGGCUUAUCAGCUUGUUGGUGGGGUAGUGGCUUACCAAGGCUUUGACGGGUAGCCGGCCUGAGAGGGUGACCGGCCACAUUGGGACUGAGAUACGGCACAGACUCCUACGGGAGGCAGCAGUGGGGAAUAUUGCACAAUGGGCGGAAGCCUGAUGCAGCAACGCCGCGUGCGGGAUGACGGCCUUCGGGUUGUAAACCGCUUUCGCCUGUGACGAAGCGUGAGUGACGGUAAUGGGUAAAGAAGCACCGGCUAACUACGUG
rnacentral:rRNA from 1 species